GCCAGACUCCUACGGGAGGCAGCAGUGGGGCCUCUUGCACAAUGUUUGCCCCCCUGAUUCCGCGCCGCCGCGUGCGUGAAGAAGUAUUUCGGUAUGUAAAGCUCUCUCAGCAGGGAAGAAAUAGCGACCUUUGGGUCGCCAGACGGUACCUGAUUAAGAAGCCCCGGCUAACUACGUGCCAGCAGCCGCGGUAAUACGUAGGGGGCAAGCGUUAUCCGGAUUUACUGGGGGGAAAGGGAGCGUAGACGGCUGUGCAAGCCGGAAGUGAAAGGCGGGGGCCCAACCCCGGGACUGCUUUGGGAACUGUACGGCUGGAGUGCAGGAGAGGUAAGGGGAAUUCCUAGUGGAGCGGUGAAAUGCGGAGAGAUUAGGAGGAACACCAGUGGCGAAGGCGGCUUACUGGACGGGAACUGACGGGGAGGCUCGAAAGCGGGGGGAGCAAACAGGAGGAGAUACCCCAGUACU
rnacentral:rRNA from 1 species